rnacentral:lncRNA from 1 species
ACACAUCAAAUUCCAUAACGAAAGGCAUUAAUGAUGCUUGGAACAAGUCAACUAUUAAUAACAAUGUAGAAGAAGUUAUGGAAGCACUAGAAGUUGUGCUAGAAUAGGACUAAAAAUCAAACACAAAUCUUUCAAUAUUACAAAAACAACAUACAACCUCUUAACUCUUGCAAGGUUAUUUAAAAGGACAUAAAGAGACAUUUAGCUCACAAGUG